AAGGAUCAUUAUCGAGUUAGGGUCCUCUGGGCCCCAUCUCCAACCCUUGCCUAUCUUACCGUGUUGCUUUGGCGGGCCCGUCCGUGACCGUCGGGGGCGUAUGUUCCCCGGCCCGCGCCCGCCAACGGCCCCCACAAAUUCGCUGAGACAGUGCUGUCUGAGUCGCAAAAUCAAUAGUUAAAACUUUCAACAACGGAUCUCUUGGUUCUGGCAUCGAUGAAGAACGCAGCGAAAUGCGAUAAGUAAUGCGAAUUGCAGAAUUCCGUGAGUCAUCGAAUCUUUGAACGCACAUUGCGCCCUUUGGUAUUCCGAAGGGCAUGCCUGUUCGAGCGUCAUUAUCAACCCUCAAGCCCGGCUUGCGGUUGGGUCUCACCGUGGGCAGCCACGGCGGAUCCGAAAGAUAAUGGCGGUGCCCGUGGGACCCUGGAUGCAAUGAGCUUUUCAGCACGCGUCCGCGGGGACCCCCGGCGCCGGCUCAACCAAUCUACCUUGCAGAUUGACCUCGGAUCAGGUAGGGAUACCCGCUGAACUUAA
rnacentral:rRNA from 1 species